AGAGUUUGAUCAUGGCUCAGGACGAACGCUGGCGGCGUGCCUAACACAUGCAAGUCGAACGAAGUAUAUUUUCGGAUAUGCUUAGUGGCGGACGGGUGAGUAACGCGUGAACAAUCUGCCCUGUACACAGGAAUAGCCUCGGGAAACUGGGAUUAAAACCGGAUAACACUUUCUGGCCGCAUGGCCGGGAAGUCAAAUUGAUUUAGAGGUACAGGAUGAGUUCGCGUCUGAUUAGCUAGUUGGUGAGGUAACGGCUCACCAAGGCGACGAUCAGUAGCCGGCCUGAGAGGGUGAACGGCCACACUGGAACUGAGACACGGUCCAGACUCCUACGGGAGGCAGCAGUGGGGAAUAUUGCACAAUGGAGGAAACUCUGAUGCAGCGACGCCGCGUGAGUGAAGAAGGUCUUCGGAUCGUAAAACUCUGUCCUUGGUGACGAAAAAAAUGACGGUAGCCAAGGAGGAAGCCCCGGCUAACUACGUGCCAGCAGCCGCGGUAAUACGUAGGGGGCGAGCGUUGUCCGGAUUUACUGGGCGUAAAGGGUGAGUAGGCGGUAAUAUGUGUCAGAUGUAAAAGGCUAUGGCUUAACCAUAGUUGGCAUUUGAAACUGUAUUACUUGAGUGCAGGAGAGGUAAGUGGAAUUCCUAGUGUAGCGGUGAAGUGCGUAGAUAUUAGGAGGAACACCAGUGGCGAAGGCGACUUACUGGACUGUAACUGACGCUGAGUCACGAAAGCGUGGGUAGCAAACAGGAUUAGAUACCCUGGUAGUCCACGCUGUAAACGAUGAGUGCUAGGUGUUGGGUAGCGAUAUUCAGUGCCGAAGUAAACACAAUAAGCACUCCGCCUGGGGAGUACGGUCGCAAGACUGAAACUCAAAUGAAUUGACGG
rnacentral:rRNA from 1 species